rnacentral:rRNA from 1 species
GUCAAGUGACUAAGCGCAUACGGUGGAUGCCUUGGCAGUCAGAGGCGAUGAAGGACGUUGUAGCCUGCGUUAAGCUUCGGGGAGUCGGCAAACAGACUUUGAUCCGGAGAUUUCCGAAUGGGGAAACCCACCCUUUACGGGUAUCUUAUACUGAAUACAUAGGUAUAAGAGGCGAACCCGGAGAACUGAAACAUCUAAGUACCCGGAGGAAAAGAAAUCAAUUGAGAUUCCCACAGUAGCGGCGAGCGACCUGGGAUCAGCCCUAAAGAACUUGGUGUGAUAGCGGAACGGUCUGGAAAGUCCGGCAAUAGAGGGUGAUAGCCCCGUAUGCGAAAGGUCCAUUGUAGUGAAAUCGAGUAGGUCGGGACACGUGAAAUCCUGACUGAACAUGGGGGGACCAUCCUCCAAGGCUAAAUACUCCUAACUGACCGAUAGUGAACCAGUACCGUGAGGGAAAGGCGAAAAGAACCCCGGAGAGGGGAGUGAAAUAGAACCUAAAACCGUGUGCAUACAAGCAGUGGGAGCCGUAAGGUGACUGCGUACCUUUUGUAUAAUGGGUCAGCGACUUCGUCUCACGAGCAAGCUUAAGCCGUUAGGUGUAGGCGCAGCGAAAGCGAGUCUUAAUAGGGCGACUGAGUUCGUGGGAUGAGACCCGAAGCCGAGUGAUCUAGCCAUGGGCAGGAUGAAGGUGCGGUAACACGCACUGGAGGACCGAACCCAC